GUUUUGGUCUGUUUUUCUUAAAACUAUAAGCAAUGGGUCAACCAUAUUUGUUGUAUGGAAGAAUUGCAAGCUGUACAUGUCUGGCUGGCAUUGUUCACCUGAUCUUGAUCCAUUGGUCAAUGUUUAGUUUUCUUGGUUAAGUCUGUUUCCUGUUAUUGUAUUGAAUGAUUGUAAGGUGUACAUGUAUUUCUUGAAUGGUUUAUAUAAC
rnacentral:lncRNA from 1 species